rnacentral:lncRNA from 1 species
CACUUGGAGGUAGUAGGGAUCCAUGUAAGGCAGUCUCACAGGACUGACUUCUUAUAGAAAUCUGAGAGGGUCUUCUUGGCAUGGAAUGUGCAGCUCCUAGUGCUGGUAGACUGGCUCACCAUGCAUGCCUGCCUUCUGUGGGUAGGUGGGAAACAGAAGAGCCAAGAAGGACACACUUCUUGGGCACUUUUUGCCACCCUGAUGCUGACUGGGACUUCCACCCAUCCCUAACUCUAUCAGUUGGAGGUCAGCACAAACCAGGGCAUCUCAAAUGGGAGGGCAUUUCCCAGUUGGCUCUUAAAG